UACGUAGGGGGCAAGCGUUGUCCGGAAUCAUUGGGCGUAAAGCGCGUGUAGGCGGGACGGCACGUCGGUCGCUGAACGCCCCCGGCUCAACCGGGGAACGGGCGCCGAUACGACCGCCCUGGAGGGACGUAGGGGGACCUGGAACUUCCGGUGGAGCGGUGAAAUGCGUUGAGAUCGGAAGGAACGCCCGUGGCGAAAGCGAGGUCCUGGACGUCUGCUGACGCUGAGACGCGAAAGCCAGGGGAGCGAACGGG
rnacentral:rRNA from 1 species